AGUGGAUCUGCUCUUGUUUCCACCAUUUUUAACAUCCUGAAUUCCAUGUAAAACAUUCAACAAAAGUAAAGAGUAUAGAGAACCUGACCAUACCUGAUUUAGCCACUUGCCAACUACACAAGUGCAGGAUGCCAAUAUAAAUUUGUAUAAUAUUUUACAUGAAUAAAACUUCACGUUCUUUUUACA